CCACUUUGGCAGCACAUAUACUAAAACUGGAACGAUACAGAGAGGAUGAGCAUGGUCUCUGCACAAGGAUGACACACAAAUUCGUGAAGAAUUCCAAAAAAAA